rnacentral:rRNA from 1 species
AUUGAACGCUAGCGGGAUGCCUUACACAUGCAAGUCGAACGGAGUGGCGAACGGGUGAGUAAUGUCUCGGAACGUGCCCCGUAGCGGGGGAUAACGACGCGAAAGCGUCGCUAAUACCGCAUACUAUUGGAUCAGCCGAUGUCGGAUUAGCUAGUUGGUGGGGUAACGGCUCACCAAGGCGACGAUCCGUAGCUGGUUUGAGAGGAUGAACAGCCACACUGGGACUGAGACACGGGCCAGACUCCUACGGGAGGCAGCAGUGGGGAAUAUUGGACAAUGGGGGAAACCCUGAUCCAGCCAUCCCGCGUGUGCGAUGAAGGCCUUCGGGUUGGAAAGCACUUUUGGCAGGAAAGCGGUACCUGCAGAAUAAGCACCGGCUAACUACGUGCCAGCCGCCGCGGUAAUAC